rnacentral:rRNA from 1 species
AUGGGCAGCCGGUUUGUGAAUCUGUUGGCCAGGAGCUGCAACGGCGGCCCCAGACACUUCAGCCUGCACCGUAUGAAUCCCGCAAAUUUGUUUCACCCAACCAGGUCAGCGGUUCCAGCGGUUCAACCGUUAGCAGAUGCUCCUCUGCCCCCCCCUGCUCUAUCCUUCGGCUGGCCCGGCAAGAAGGGCGAACUCGCGUGGAUGAAUUUCAUGGCUUUCGGCCGCACCGGGAACAAUUUUUUGGCCGUGGACCAGAUAGGCAGGACCUUCUUUUACGACACUGACUCGCGUUCGCUCCGCACUGGAAUGCCCAUGAUGUGCAAGCCCAUCAUGGACCCGAUCUCCAUUGCCGUUGGUGACAGCCUCUACGUCAUGAGCGGUAACCCUGGCCCGUCGCCUGGGAAGCAUUGCUUCCAGGCUCUCAUCCACGGCCGCCUUCCUGCAAGCGACACCAAUGAUUGGUCCUGGUAUUCGCUUCAGCCGCCACCUCCCUUCGUGAACGACAUUCCCCGCUUCCAUGAAGAUGAGGUCAAAUCCAGUUGCGGUGACGUUCCAGCCCCCUAUGAAAUCGGUGCCUACACUGUGGUUGGCGAAUCACAGAUCUGGGUAUCCACAGCAGGUGCCGGCACAUACUCGUAUGACACUGUGAGUGGUGCAUGGAGCAAGGUAGGCAACUGGUCACUGCCGUUCAGAGGCCGUGCCGAGUACAUCCCUGAGCACAACCUCUGGUUUGGCUUCACACCCAACAAUUUGCAGCUGUGCACAUCGGACCUCACUGCCUCAUCUGAGGUGAGGCCGCCCGUUCUGCAGAAUAUGUGGACAGACGUGGUCAGGCCAAAAAAUUGGACCCUGAGAGAUGCCAGCCUCGUGCCGCUGGGCUCUGGCAAAGUCUGCAUUGCCAGGUUCUUCGUAACUCAUUCAGACAACUUUGAGGAUAUGUCAGCCUAUAAGAAAAGAGAGAAUUUUGCUGUUCUCGAGGGUGUGGAAGUGUUGAAGGCUGGGUGGGCUCACCUCCGGAUGGUUAAGCACAAGUCGGAGCGUUACGUCUUCGGCCGUGACCUUGUCAUACCGCUCUGA